rfam:Salmo salar isolate Sally breed double haploid chromosome ssa01, whole genome shotgun sequence.
UGUAUUCACUACUGUAAGUCGCUCUGGAUAAGAGCAUCUGCUAAAUGACGUAAA